rnacentral:lncRNA from 1 species
CCCAUUCUCCAUGGCCACCUUCACCCCAUUCACCUUCGCAUUCUAACGGAGCCUGACCUCCUCAGAAACUUGCCCUGACUUCUCUCUCCACUUAUCUGUAGCACCUUGUCAUCUUCUAACUCCUCCUUCACCUCCUCUUUCUUGAGUCCAGGGAGAUCGGCCUAGAAUAUAUGGGCGUGGUCAAUCUCUUUGCGCAUUCAAAAAGGCAUAGGUUGCAGAAUCAGUGGGAUUAAAAACAGAAAAACAAGAAAUGGUGUUUGUGUUAAAAGGAGAAACGAAGAUGCCAUCAAAGUGUUCCCAAAUUUUAAUGGUUAUCUGACGGAGAAAAUUGGUUUUCACUGGUUUUUUUUUUAUGGAGAAAGGGAUCUUUUCACUAUCUAUUGCUGCAGCUGAUGAGAGAGAAAUGGAGACAACGGGUUUUAAUGAGAGGGUGAGGGAAGAACAGAAUGGUAUUUGUGAUAAAAGGAGAAACGAAGAAGCCAUCAAAGUGUUCCCAAAUUUUAAUGGUUCUCUGACGGAGAAAAU